GUAGGUGGCAAGCGUUGUCCGGAAUUAUUGGGGCGUAAAGCGCGCGCAGGCGGUUCUUUAAGUCUGAUGUGAAAGCCCACGGGCUCAACCGUGGAGGGUCAUUGGAAACUGGAGAACUUGAGUACAGAAGAGGAAAGCGGAAUUCCACGUGUAGCGGUGAAAUGCGCAGAGAUGUGGAGGAACACCAGUGGCGAAGGCGGCUUUCUGGUCUGUAACUGACGCUGAGGCGCGAAAGCGUGGGGAGCAAACAGGAUUAGAUACCCUGGUAGUCCACGCCGUAAACGAUGAGUGCUAAGUGUUACGGGGGUUUCCGCCCCUUAGUGCUGCAGCUAACGCAUUAAGCACUCCGCCUGGGGAGUACGGCCGCAAGGCUG
rnacentral:rRNA from 1 species